rnacentral:lncRNA from 1 species
UUGGUCAACCUAGGCAUUUGACUUUUAAGAAGGUUAAAGGAGACAAAGAUCUCAGAGGUAAAUUUUGGUGAUAUGACAGUAGAGGUUGAACCUUCCCACCAGUAUUCCAUUACAUUUCAUUGCUGUGUGACAGAUGGCACGGGAGGGGCACUCUGACAAAAUGGCACCUGACAUGGAAGUGUAGAUGAAGUAAAGGAAAUAUGAUAAAGUUUCCAAAGGAAGUGGAAAAACCCAAACUACAAGCAACAGUCAGACUUUGACGGAAUAAAUGACUUCUUCCGGAAGAUGCAGAGACAAAGGGGAAACAAAAAACAAACAAACAAACAAACAAAAAACACUGGUAAUACUCCUCCCCCAUCAAAACACAAGCGAC